AUGAAUAGUGUAGCUCAUAUAAUUUCCAAAAUACGGUUGGGAAGUUUCUACAAAUGGCCAAAAAACCAUUUACUAUGGGCGAAAGUGUA
rnacentral:ncRNA from 1 species